GAGGGUAUAGCUCAUUGGUAGACUGAGUGCUUAGCAUGCAUGAGAUCCUGGGUUCAAUCCCCAGUACCUUCA
rfam:Camelus ferus unplaced genomic scaffold scaffold2018, whole genome shotgun sequence.